UACGAAGGGGGCUAGCGUUGUUCGGAAUUACUGGGCGUAAAGCGCGCGCAGGAGGUCUUUCAAGUCAGUGGUGAAAGCCCGGAGCUCAACUCCGGAAAUGCCAUUGAAACUGUGAGACUUGAGGACGAGAGAGGUGAGUGGAAUUCCCAGUGUAGAGGUGAAAUUCGUAGAUAUUGGGAAGAACACCGGUGGCGAAGGCGGCUCACUGGCUCGUAUCUGACGCUCAGGCGCGACAGCGUGGGGAUCAAACAGG
rnacentral:rRNA from 1 species